AACAAGAUCAACUCUAGUUGAGAGUUGGGAUUGGUCUUAUAUGCGGUAGUGUAUUUGGCCUGAAUAUAUCGAGUUGAUGAGCUUCCCAGUGCGGCUCAAUGUGUGCUAGCGAGACAGUCGUCCCGAUCUCACAUUACUGCCGCAUUGCAGAGUUCUGUCCACAGCUCGCUAAAUUUAUUUAUCGC
rnacentral:misc_RNA from 1 species